rnacentral:rRNA from 1 species
CCUACGGGCGGCAGCAGUCGAGAAUCAUUCACAAUGGGGGAAACCCUGAUGGUGCGACGCCGCGUGGGGGAAUGAAGGUCUUCGGAUUGUAAACCCCUGUCAUGUGGGAGCAAAUUAAAAAGAUAGUACCACAAGAGGAAGAGACGGCUAACGCUGUGCCAGCAGCCGCGGUAAUACAGAGGUCUCAAGCGUUGUUCGUAAUCACUGGGCGUAAAGCGUGCGUAGGCGGUUUCGUAAGUCGUGUGUGAAAGGCGCGGACUCAACCCGCGGACGGCACAUGAUACUGCGAGACUAGAGUAAUGGAGGGGGAACCGGAAUUCUCGGUGUAGCAGUGAAAUGCGUAGAUAUCGAGAGGAACACUCGUGGCGAAGGCGGGUUCCUGGACAUUAACUGACGCUGAGGCACGAAGGCCAGGGGAGCGAAAGGGAUUAGAUACCCGGGUAGUC